rnacentral:lncRNA from 1 species
AGCCGCCCACCCUGCAGGGGCAGAGGCGAUGUGUGUAUGUGUGGCGUGUACGUGCUCAGAGCGAAAGCAGGGUGGGCUUUGGUAACUUCGGGAGGCUUAUUUGACUCCUUUAGUUAGGGGAGCAGAGGCCCUGCUUCCUUCGUCUCACAACGCUGCCCCCUCUUUUAGGAGCCAAGCUCUGGCAGCCACGGUGGGCGGGGGCCGAGGU